GAUGAACGCUGGCGGCGUGCCUAAUACAUGCAAGUCGAGCGAACGGACGAGAAGCUUGCUUCUCUGAUGUUAGCGGCGGACGGGUGAGUAACACGUGGAUAACCUACCUAUAAGACUGGGAUAACUUCGGGAAACCGGAGCUAAUACCGGAUGAUAUUUUGAACCGCAUGGUUCAAAAGUGAAAGACGGUCUUGCUGUCACUUAUAGAUGGAUCUGCGCUGCAUUAGCUAGUUGUGACGGUAACGGCUUACCAAGGCAACGAUGCAUAGCCGACCUGAGAGGGGGAUAGGCGACACGGGAACUGAGACACGGUCCAGACUCCUAAGGGAGGGAGCAGUAGGGAAUCGGCCGCAAUGGGCGAAAGCCUGACGGAGCAACGCCGCGUGAGUGAUGGAGGUCUUCGGAUCGUAAAACUCUGUUAUGAGGGAAGAACAUAUGUGUAAGGAACUGUGCACAUCUUGACGGUACCUAAUCAGAAAGCCACGGCUAACUACGUG
rnacentral:rRNA from 1 species